AUUGAACGCUGGCGGCAGGCCUAACACAUGCAAGUCGAGCGGAGCGGCGGACGGGUGAGGAAUACUUAGGAAUGGGCCUGGUAGUGGUGGAUAACGAUAGGAAAUGGGCGCGAAUACCGCAUACUAUCAGAUGAGGCUAGGUCGGAUUAGCUAGUUGGUGGGGUAAAGGCCUACCAAGGCGACGAUCCGGAACUAGUCUGAGAGGAUGAUCAGUCACACUGGAACUGAGACACGGUCCAGACUCCUACGGGAGGCAGCAGUGGGGAAUAUUGGACAAUGGGCGCAAGCCUGAUCCAGCCAUGCCGCGUGUGUGAAGAAGGUCUUCGGCUUGUAAAGCACUUUAAGUUGGGAGGCGUUACCAACAGAAUAAGCACCGGCUAACUUCGUGCCAGCAGCCGCGGUAAUAC
rnacentral:rRNA from 1 species